ACAUGCAAGUCGAACGGCAGCACGGGAGCAAUCCUGGUGGCGAGUGGCGAACGGGUGAGUAAUACAUCGGAACGUGCCCUGUCGUGGGGGAUAACUAGUCGAAAGAUUAGCUAAUACCGCAUACGACCUGAGGGUGAAAGCGGGGGACCGUAAGGCCUCGCGCGAUAGGAGCGGCCGAUGUCUGAUUAGCUAGUUGGUGGGGUAAAGGCCCACCAAGGCGACGAUCGUAGCUGGUCUGAGAGGACGAUCAGCCACACUGGGACUGAGACACGGCCUAGACUCCUACGGGAGGCAGCAGUGGGGAAUUUUGGACAAUGGGGGCAACCCUGAUCCAGCAAUGCCGCGUGUGUGAAGAAGGCCUUCGGGUUGUAAAGCACUUUUGUCCGGAAAGAAAUCCCUUGCUCUAAUACGGCGGGGGGAUGACGGUACCGGAAGAAUAAGCACCGGCUAACUACGUGCCAGCAGCCGCGGUAAUACGUAGGUGCGAGCGUUAAUCGGAAUUACUGGGCGUAAAGCGUGCGCAGGCGGUUUUGUAAGACAGGCGUGAAAUCCCGAGCUCAACUUGGGAAUUGGCGCUUGUGACUGCAAGGCUAGAGUAUGUCAGAGGGGGGUAAAAUUCCACGUGUAGCAGUGAAAUGCGUANAGAUGUGGAGGAAUACCGAUGGCGAAGGCAGCCCCCUGGGACGUUCACUGGACGCUCAUUGCACCA
rnacentral:rRNA from 1 species